CCUAGAGUUGUAGGCUUUGCCUGCUAUCUCUUACCCAUGUCUUUUGAGUACCUUCGUUUCCCUCGGCGGGUCCGCCCGCCGAUUGGACAAUUUAUAACCAUUUGCAGUUGCAAUCAGCGUCUGAAAAAACUUAAUAGUUAC
rnacentral:misc_RNA from 1 species